CAUAAUAAAAUAUUGAUUUCUGUGAGGAAAAAAACUUUGGAGUGGGGCUAUAAAUAAAGCCCUUAAUUGAGCAAUACAAUUCAACCAAAUACACUUUCCUCUGUCGCAAUUCUUAAAGUUGUGUUAACAUGGCCGGAAAUAAGAUUUACUUUUCUCAUUGCUGCCUCCUUUUGGCGAUUACUAGUUAGUAGUUCUCUUUUUUCAUACCUAUAUAUAUAUAUAUAUAUAUGAGCAUAUGAUAUGUUUCUACAUGUAUUUGCACACUAAUUUUAUAGGGGAGCCUUGGCGUAACUGGUAAAGUUGCUGCCAUGUGACCAGGAGGUUACGGGUUCAAGCCGUGGAAACAGCCUCUUGCAGAAAUGCAGGGUAAGGCUGCGUACAAUAGACCCUUGUGAUCUGGCCCUUCCCCGAACUCUGUGCAUAGCGGGAGCUUAGUGCACCGAUCUGCCCAAUUUAACUUGCCAUUAAAUAUGUCUUUAAAUUGCUAUUGAUUUAUAAAUAUGCAGUUAAUGUCUUGAGCGUUCCGAGGAUGCAAGUGAUGGCAUCGCGAAACAUACCAUUAAAUAUGUACUCCUACAAUAUUAUGGAAGGAAGCCUACUGAUUCCUGCACUUAAUGACAGAGCUUGUCUUUUACCCUGCAGGGUAAAUACAGACUGCUCUAGUGGCACCGUUUGCAGAACUUGUGGGCCGAGUUAUACAUGUUCUCCUUAGGAAUUUUAAACAAAUUCCCAUGCUUAUGUUGUUUUCCUUUUUCAUGUUCCGCUUUCCAUCUUUAUGUGCCACCUGUGUGCUGUGAGAUAUUACAUAAGUGACUGAAUUGUGUUAUAAUAAGGUAAGUAAAAUUGUUGUUUUAUGAUAUAUCAUGUGUAUUCAGUUGCAAUAUUAAUAAUGAUGAGUGUAUUGAGUAUAUAUGCAUCAUAGUGCUUCUCCUUUUACUUUCUUGCCCUUUCUGCUUGGAUGGUUGUUAUGUAUCGUUUCAUAAUAUAGUAUACUAUUGUAUUGUAUUGUACUGUAUCAUUUUGAUGUAUACAAUCCUUAGAUAGAUUGUAUUGAU
rnacentral:lncRNA from 1 species